AAAAUGUUAUCUUUCAAGGUUGACUGGUGUGUUCCUUUCCCCUAGUUUUAUAGACUUUGGUAAGGAGGGAUAAUAACAACCAUUUUAAUCACUUACAGAGUACAAACUAUUCGUCCAACGUGUCUCAUUGCUUCUGCUACAGAGGAAAAGCAGCCAAGGGGAUUCAGCUGUUUUUGCUUUAAGUAUCUGCUCCAGAGGAUCU
rnacentral:lncRNA from 1 species